AGUGAACGCUGGCGGUAGGCCUAACACAUGCAAGUCGAACGGCAGCACAGUAAGAGCUUGCUCUUACGGGUGGGGAGUGGCGGACGGGUGAGGAAUACAUCGGAAUCUACUUUUUCGUGGGGGAUAACGUAGGGAAACUUACGCUAAUACGGCAUACGACCUACGGGUGAAAGCAGGGGAUCUUCGGACCUUGCGCGAGUGAACGAGCCUAUGUCGGAUUAGCUAGUUGGCGGGGUAAAGGCGCACCAAGGCGAAGAUCCGUAGCGGGUCUGAGAGGAUGAUCCGCCACACUGGAACUUAGACACGCUCCAGACCCCUACGGGAGGCCGCAGUGGGGAGUAUUGGACAAUGGGCGCAUGCCUGAUCCAGCCCUACUGCGUGGGUGAAGGAGGCCUUCUGGUUGUAGAGCCCUUUUGUUUGGAAAGAACAGCAGCAGGUUAAUACCCCGCUGUUCUGACGGUACCCAAAGAAUAAGCACCGGCUAACUUCGUG
rnacentral:rRNA from 1 species